ACUUUAGCCAAGAAACAUGUGUAUGUCUAAACAAUUAAAGGGUGGGGGACUCCUCCAAACAUCGCCUACAACAAGGAUUAAAGCAUGUGGCUUAAUUUUUAAUCAGCUGCCUUGUUAGACAUGGGCUAUCAGCAAAGUGGUAUAAACAUAGAACGGGGUUUGGCCGUUGUCAUCCAAUGGGGGAAGGGAGUAAAUAUUUUCUUUUUCUUUUAGGGUUACUCUGCCUCGUCCCUUCUGAGGUGGAUCGAUGUGCAUUAUAAAGAAACUUGCCCUCACUUUCCGCAGAAAAGGAGUCUGGUGGAGGGCAUCUGAAGACGCCUGCAUGAGAGUCAAAAUGAGUUUUGAAUGGCCUCCGAGUUGGCGGCCAACCUCCUGAAAUCAUAUUGUCUGAAGUCCCUUGGAGUUUCUUUUCUGAGGACAACAACGGCAGUCUAUUUAUUGGUUGCAGUUGCUAUGAAGUGACCGUCCUCAGAAGUGAGGCUGUUGCCCUUAGCUACACAUUUCUUUGUGGGCAUAAUCUUGUAUCACAGAGUACCAAAUCAGCAGCUGGGCAAGGCAGAGACCCUGAUGAAAUAUGAAUAUGAUGACGAUGAAGUACUUUCCUAGUGCUAGCCUCCUUUUAUAGGCUAUGUUGUGGUUAAUGCAGCUUGGAAAUGACACAUGACCUUUUCAAAAGAAAGGGCUCGCUUUAUUUGAACACUGUCCUCUUCCCUCUCAGACGCAGCUAGUUGCCUGGCCUGGGGUCACCACCGGAACCUCCUGGAGACCUGCCCUGCGGAGGACGCCCUUCCAGCACAGGAGAGCUCGCCACUUGGGAGCGGCGGCGCCCAGUUGGCGCCCACCCCGGGGCACACUGCAGUCAAUGCCUGGCAGCGACUUCUCGUUUCGCCCUCCGCCUCCCCCAUCGACCCUCUCCGGCCGACCUUUACGCCCAACUCGGGCGCGCUGCGAGCCUCGCGUCCUCGCCGUCCACGCGGGGCCCCACCCCUUCCCGGUUCCAGC
rnacentral:lncRNA from 1 species